rnacentral:rRNA from 1 species
UAAUACGAACCGUCCAAACGUUAUUCGGAUUUAUUGGGCUUAAAGGGUAUGUAGGCGGCGCCAUCAGUCGGGUGUGAAAGCCCUCGGCUCAACCGAGGAACUGCGCCCGAUACUGUGGUGCUUGAGGGAGACAGAGGUAAGCGGAACUGAUGGUGGAGCGGUGAAAUGCGUUGAUAUCAUCAGGAACACCAGUGGCGAAAGCGGCUUACUGGGUCUCUUCUGACGCUGAGAUACGAAAGCUAGGGGAGCGAACGGGAUUAGAUACCCCGGUAGUCCUAGCUGUAAACGAUGAGCACUUGAUCGUGGGGCCCCCCAUAGCCUCUCGGUCGCAGCGAAAGUGGUAAGUGCUCCGCCUGGGGAGUAUGGUCGCAAGGCUG